rnacentral:rRNA from 1 species
ACCCGCUGAACUUAAGCAUAUCAAUAAGCGGAGGAAAAGAAACCAACAGGGAUUGCCCUAGUAACGGCGAGUGAAGCGGCAACAGCUCAAAUUUGAAAUCUGGCUCUUUUAGAGUCCGAGUUGUAAUUUGCAGAGGGCGCUUUGGCUUUGGCAGCGGUCCAAGUUCCUUGGAACAGGACGUCACAGAGGGUGAGAAUCCCGUACGUGGUCGCUGGCUAUUGCCGUGUAAAGCCCCUUCGACGAGUCGAGUUGUUUGGGAAUGCAGCUCUGAAUGGGAGGUACAUUUCUUCUAAAGCUAAAUAUUGGCCAGAGACCGAUAGCGCACAAGUAGAGUGAUCGAAAGAUGAAAAGCACUUUGGAAAGAGAGUCAAACAGCACGUGAAAUUGUUGAAAGGGAAGCGCUUGCAGCCAGACUUGCUUACAGUUGCUCAUCCGGGCUUUUGCCCGGUGCACUCUUCUGUAGGCAGGCCAGCAUCAGUUUGGGCGGUAGGAUAAAGGUCUCUGUCACGUACCUCUCUUCGGGGAGGCCUUAUAGGGGAGACGACAUACUACCAGCCUGGACUGAGGUCCGCGCAUCUGCUAGGAUGCUGGCGUAAUGGCUGU